ensembl:lncRNA
CUUUCCCUCCCCGCCCCCCAACCUUUUCUUUCUUUCAUAGAACAAAGGUUUAUGGAGCACUUACUGUUGUACCAAGCAUUGUUCAAUAUGCUGGGGAUUGAAUGACGAGAGGCAGACAAUAAACAAGUCAACAAUACUUAUACAGCUUUAGAGAGCAAUACUUAUUAUGAAGAAAAAGAAAACAUGACAAGGAGGUGGACUGACAGGUGUUUAGAGCUAUUUUCAUUAGGGAGGUCGGGGGAGGUCUCUUGGAGGCAGUGACCUUCAGAAAGGAAGUGUGCUUUGGGAGGAGGACGGUUCCAGUGAAGGCAACAGCAAGUGCAACGUCCCUGGGGAGACAGGCUUAGCCUGCUACGGGUGCAGCAAAGAAUGGUAGAGUGGAUAGAGCUCGGAGUACUUUCAUCGAAACGGUUUGGGAUGUGAAUGGAGAAGAAAGGAUGACCAGACAUUUAACACGAAUGAAUUUAACACGGAGGACCAAAAUAGAAAAAAGGAAAUUGUAAGAAAUUGCUAUCCUAAGAAGCACUGGUGGGAUGAUGAGGAAGUUCUUUUCUGAUUGCUUCUCUUUCCUCUGGAAAACAAGUUUUCAUAUCACUAAUGGAGGUUGGAGGGUGCAGUGUCGUCACUCGAGGCAAGAAGGGGAAUUUCGGAGAGCAGAAGAAAGUACAGUAUUGAGCAGGGAAGCCAUAGGAUUGCCAGGUGUGCUAAGAACCUGCUUGUGAUUCAUCAUUACAGAGUCAAAGUGAGAUUUGUCAACACAGUCGUUUAUCCUCAGCCUUACUCAGUAGCUCAGGGAAAGUCCCACUGUUGGUAGAGUUUGGUUUGAUCCUUCUUGCAGUUUUGUAUAGAAGAUGGUGGGAGAAGGACAAGAGAAUUAAGAGUGUGUACACAAAGAGGAUUUCCUUGGUGGUCCAGUGGUUAAGACUCCGAGCUCCCAAUGCAGGCGGCCUGGGUUCAGUCCCUGGUCAGAGAACUAGAAAGACCUUGAUGCUGGGGAAAAUCAAAUGCAAAAGGAGAAGAGGGCAGCAGAGGAUGAGAUGGUUCGAUAGCAUCGCCAACUCAAUGGACAUGAAUCUAAGCAAACUCCAGGAGAUACUGAAGGACAGAGGAGCCUGGCAUGCUGCAGCCCACGGAGUUGAGAAGAGUGAGACACGGCUUAGCAACUGAACAACAACAAAUGCUGCAACUAAGACCUGGUGGAGCCAAAUAAAUAAAUAAGAUAAAAAAAGAAUUUAAAGAAGAGUGUACACAAAGGAAUCAUGAUAGUUAUAGACAGUUGAACUUAAGCUGGGUGAAGUGGGAUGUGAGGAUGUGAAGAGGGUGAUGGACAGUGAAAAUGUGGACUGGACAAUGGACUAGAGAAACCAAAGGCUGAAGGGUUGUUGAACUGAGGAUAUCAGAGAGUGGACUGGAAGGAUGGAUAGAGUGGAGUGCUGGGAAUCCGAAGGUUUGAAGAGGUGCAGUUACCUCGGCUUGUGGCUGAGGUCGGGUGGCAGAAAAGAGAACAAGGAACUGAGAUGUUGGGCUGCUGGACGUGUUAUCUCAGAGGAUGUCUCAGUUGCAUAAACAAAGAUGAUUUAUGAUAGAGAAGUAAAUAUAAGCCAAAUGAAUAAGCCUUUGAUGAAACUGCUAGAUGUUGCAAGAUGAUUGCCACAAGGCAGGACGAUGGCUGGUCUAGGCUGCUGCAGCUCUUUGGCUUCUGCUGUGGUUCCUGUCUUCUGUGCCUCAGAUCUGAGUCCACGAAGCUAGCUUGGGACUAGCACCCUACACAGACGAUGCUGUCUUCUUCAUCCUGUGCAUCUGCCCCAGGCCCUGCAAACUGACUUCCUCCUUCAUUGGCC